rnacentral:rRNA from 1 species
AUCUGCAGCCAUACCACCCUACACACGCGUGAUCUUGCCUGAUCUCAGAAGCUAUGCAGGGUCGGGCCUGGUUAGUAUCUGGAUGGGAGACUGCUUGGGAAUACUGGGUGCUGUAGGGU